UACGUAGGAGACGAGCGUUGUCCGGAGUUACUGGGCGUAAAGGGCGCGCAGGCGGCCGCCCGCGUGUGUGGUGAAAGCUCCUGGCUUAACUAGGAGAGGUCCAUGCAGACGGGGUGGCUUGAGCGUCGGAGAGGGGCAUGGAAUCCGGGUGGAGCGGUGAAAUGCGUGAGAGAUCCGGAGGAACACCAAUGGCGAAGGCAGUGCCCUGGCCGACGGCUGACGCUCAGGCGCGAAG
rnacentral:rRNA from 1 species